CCGGAGGACGCGAUCCGCGAGAUCCUCGUCCGCUUGGAGGACACCGCCGCUCUCUUCCGCUGCGCCGUCACGUGCAGGCAGUGGAGCCGCCUUGUAUCAGAUGCCUCCUUCCUCCGUCGUUGCUGGCCGGAUGAUCAGGCGGCGUGCCGCCGCACGUGGUCGACCUUCCUGGCCGGGUUCUUCACCAUGAAACGGCUCGACCGAACGGAUCCCACCUUCGUGCCGGGGGUGGCAACCUUCGUGACGUUUUUUGUCCCGACGCCGUGGUCGGUGUUCGGCCCCAGCCGCCGCUGCCUCUCCUCCUUCUUCCCGGACACCGAUCCAUGCCUUUUCGACCAUGUGGUGCCACUCGUCGCACGCCGUGGCCUCCUUCUCGUGCAGAUUGGUGUCCAUGGCGAUUUCGGCUAUCAAUAUCGCCUUGCCAUGUGCAAUCUGCUUGCGGGCAAAUGCGAUGUGCUUCCCCUAGUAAGUGGUGGUCUAAAUUUCGGCAAAAGCGGCUACGCCAUCCUAACUGGUGCAGACUGCUCCCUAGAGCAGCAACCUUUGUUGUCAUCAUCAGGCUACUCGACCUUCUUCAAAGUGCUAAUCCUCGGCACCAUGUAUGAUGGGCUCGAUCCCUACUUGUACUCGUUCUCAUCCAGAGAGGCCACAUGGAGCAAGCCUAGAAAAAUAACUUUUGGACCCUAUGGGCAGAUGGGUGACUGUGGAUAUCCUGAUGCCGUCGUGUCUCGCGGCAAGGUGCAUUGGAAGGUUGGGUCCUGGUCAGUUGACGUGGACGCUGAGACGAAUCACAUCUCUCGUAUAAUGAUCAAGCCCUCGUUGAGUUAUUCCCGGACGUACGACGAGCCACAACUCACGGUCACCGCUAAUGGGAUGCUCUCGGUGUUAUUGCUAUCGAGGCCGGGUCUCAGGCUAGAGAUCUACACACGACAAGAUGAGAAAAAGAGUGAUCAUGGUGGUACUACCGAGUGGCUCCGUGCCGGCACUACCACAUUGAAACCAUCUGGGCGUAUGAAAAGAAGACCAAGGCCAAUAUGCUUAACCUUGUUAGGAGAUAAAAGUGGCACGAUGCUACUCAAGGAUAGCCAGAAGCAAAUUUAUAUGGCUGACCUUGAGACUGGAGUGACGGAGGAGUUGACUAACUGUUUGGAUGGGUUUAACCGUCGGAAGAUCAUAUUGUUGGAGAUGGACUGGUCUGCGUUAUUCAUUUCACAACUUUCUAGG
rnacentral:rRNA from 1 species